GACAGAGGGUGCAAACGUUGUUCGGAAUUACUGGGCGUAAAGCGAGUGUAGGCGGUUUCCUAAGUCAGGUGUGAAAGCCCCGGGCUCAACCCGGGAAGUGCACUUGAAACUGGGAGGCUAGAGUAUCGGAGAGGUUGGUGGAAUUCUCGGUGUAGAGGUGAAAUUCGUAGAUAUCGAGAGGAACACCGGUGGCGAAGGCGGUUCUCUGGGCCUGUACUGACGCUGAGGAGCGAAAGCGUGGGGAGCAAACAGG
rnacentral:rRNA from 1 species